ACUCUUCUCUGUCUGAGUUGGUAGAGCAUGAGACUCUUAAUCUCAGGGUUGUGGGUUUGAGCCCCAUGUUGGGUA